rnacentral:rRNA from 1 species
CCUACGGGGGGCAGCAGUGAGGAAUAUUGGUCAAUGGGCGGGAGCCUGAACCAGCCAAGCCGCGUGAAGGAAGAAGGCGCCAGGCGUCGUAAACUUCUUUUGUCGGGGAACAAAGGGCGCCACGUGUGGCGUUGUGAGUGUACCCGAAGAAAAAGCAUCGGCUAACUCCGUGCCAGCAGCCGCGGUAAUACGGAGGAUGCGAGCGUUAUCCGGAUUUAUUGGGUUUAAAGGGUGCGUAGGCGGAGCGUUAAGUCAGUGGUCAAAUUGAGGGGCUCAACCCCUUCCCGCCAUUGAAACUGGCGCUCUUGAGUGGAAGAGAAGUAUGCGGAAUGCGUGGUGUAGCGGUGAAAUGCAUAGAUAUCACGCAGAACCCCGAUUGCGAAGGCAGCAUGCCGGCUUCCGACUGACGCUGAAGCACGAAAGCGUGGGGAUCGAACAGGAUUAGAUACCCUAGUAGUC